rnacentral:rRNA from 1 species
GACGAACGCUGGCGGCGUGCUUAACACAUGCAAGUCGAACGGAAAGGCCCUGCUUUUGUGGGGUGCUCGAGUGGCGAACGGGUGAGUAACACGUGAGUAACCUGCCCUUGACUUUGGGAUAACUUCAGGAAACUGGGGCUAAUACCGGAUAGGAGCUCCUGCUGCAUGGUGGGGGUUGGAAAGUUUCGGCGGUUGGGGAUGGACUCGCGGCUUAUCAGCUUGUUGGUGGGGUAGUGGCUUACCAAGGCUUUGAAGGGUAGCCGGCCUGGGAGGGUGACCGGCCACAAUGGGCCUGAGAUACGGCCCAGACGCCUACGGGAGGCAGCGGUGGGGAAUAUUGCACAAUGGGCGGAAGCCUGAUGCAGCAACGCCGCGUGCGGGAUGACGGCCUUCGGGUUGUAAACCGCUUUCGCCUGUGACGAAGCGUGAGUGACGGUAAUGGGUAAAGAAGCACCGGCUAACUACGUG